rnacentral:rRNA from 1 species
UCGGGAAUUUUGGGCAAUGGGCGCAAGCCUGACCCAGCAACGCCGCGUGAGGGAUGAAGGCCUUCGGGUCGUAAACCUCUGUCGGGAGGGAAGAAUGGUCGGCGGGCAAACAGUCCGACGGCCUGACGGUACCUCCAAAGGAAGCGCCGGCUAACUCCGUGCCAGCAGCCGCGGUAAUACGGAGGGCGCAAGCGUUGUUCGGAAUUACUGGGCGUAAAGCGCGUGUAGGCGGCUUGGCAAGUCGGGUGUGAAAUCCCGGGGCCCAACCCCGGAACUGCACUCGAAACUGCUUCGCUCGAGUCCCGGAGAGGAAGGCGGAAUUCCCGGUGUAGAGGUGAAAUUCGUAGAUAUCGGGAGGAACACCAGAGGCGAAGGCGGCCUUCUGGACGGUGACUGACGCUGAGACGCGAAAGCGUGGGGAGCAAACAGGAUUAGAUACCCGGGUAGUCC